UACGGGAGGCAGCAGUGGGGAAUAUUGCACAAUGGGCGCAAGCCUGAUGCAGCCAUGCCGCGUGUAUGAAGAAGGCCUUCGGGUUGUAAAGUACUUUCAGUCGUGAGGAAGGUGUUAAGGUUAAUAACCUUAGCAAUUGACGUUAGCGACAGAAGAAGCACCGGCUAACUCCGUGCCAGCAGCCGCGGUAAUACGGAGGGUGCGAGCGUUAAUCGGAAUUACUGGGCUAAAGGGCACGCAGGCGGUUAAUUAAGUUGGAUGUGAAAUCCCCGGGCUUAACCUGGGAAUGGCAUUCAAGACUGGUUAGCUAGAGUCUUGUAGAGGGGGUUAGAAUUCCAUGUGUAGCGGUGAAAUGCGUAGAGAUGUGGAGGAAUACCGGUGGCGAAGGCGGCCCCUGGGACAAGGACUGACGCUCA
rnacentral:rRNA from 1 species